CAAACAGCACGCAGACUCCACAGCAGACUCUGAUUCAGAGCUUACGCAUGAGCCUGUCACUUUUUUCCUUCCUCCUGCAUCUUCCUUUUUGGCUUCUUCUGAUUCCUUUACCACCCCCUCUCCUAUGCCUUUAUCCAUCGCUCCUCUGGUGUCCCCCCAGACUCAUCCUGUUUUUAUGUCCUCUCAGUCUAGUUCUGUAUCUUCUUCCCCGGCUUCUCCUCUGCCACCACCCUCUACCCUUUCUACCUGUUCUAAACUCUCUACUGAGCUAGGCAGUCUAAGCCCAGUAUCUUCCUCACAGAAAAAAGGACAAAUAAAGAGGAAAGCAGACCCUAAAGAAUGUCCCAUGCAUGAGGAAUCAACCAGUUUCCCCUAGAAAAAAAUAUUAAGGAAAAGAAUCAGGGAGGGCCAUACGGAGGUGUUGGUUCAGUGGCAUCCUUGCUCUGGAUGUGGGAAAAAGUGGAAGAACUCCUGGGAGCCAAGUGAAAACAUUCAGAGUUUAUCCUGAAGAUUUGUGUGUUUGUUCCAAUGUGUCAUGCCUUGUAUGACAGUUACAGAGACUUGAGAGAAUGUGUCUUUCACUGUUAAUGCAUAUCAGUUCUGAUAUACAGUAUGCUUGUGUUUUGUUUUGUGCUUGCUUUGUAAAGCAUAUAGUCAUUCUGUUUUGUGUGUUUGAUGACUUGACUAAACAACAUUAAA